UACGUAGGCAGCGAGCGUUGUUCGGAGUUACUGGGCGUAAAGGGUGUGUAGGCGGUUGUUUAAGUUUGGUGUGAAAUCUCCCGGCUCAACUGGGAGGGUGCGCCGAAUACUGAAUGACUAGAGUGCGGGAGAGGUGAGUGGAAUUCCUGGUGUAGCGGUGAAAUGCGUAGAUAUCAGGAGGAACACCGGCGGUGUAGACGGCUCACUGGACCGUAACUGACGCUGAGACACGAAAGCGUGGGUAGCAAACAGG
rnacentral:rRNA from 1 species